AGCGUCAGAUGUGUAUAAGAGACAGGUGAAUCAUCGAAUCUUUGAACGCACAUUGCACCUUUUGGUAUUCCAUGAGGUAUACAUGUUCGAGCGUCGUUUAAAUCUGAGACUCACGUCUUGUGUUGACGUAUUCCGACGGAUGUUGGAACGUUGAAAAUUAUAGGCGCACGUGACUCGUGACGAACCCAACAAUCUGGAUAAGUUCGAGUUUUCAUGCUGCCGAUAAAACUUUUACAUUAACGUUCGACCUCGAAUCAUGUAGGAUUACCCGCUGAACUUAAGCAUAUCAAUAAGCGGAGG
rnacentral:misc_RNA from 1 species